AUGAAGCCCCAGAGCCCCAAGUUCAAAGGCUUUGUCAGCAACUUAAGUGAAGGACCCUGGGGCUUCCUGAGGUUGUUGCUGGCAGCUGUAGGGAGAGCUGUCCAGGCCCUGCUUUACUGGAAGGCUCACACCAGCAGACCGCAAGGCCAGGAAAUGGACCUCCGAGCAAAAGGUUGGAGAUUGUUUUUUCAUCUGGCUUUUCCGCUUUCAACUCCGUUACAAAACUGAAGUCAACAUUUUCACAGCUUGUCAAUGGAAACCUGAUUAUGGCUCCUCAUCCAAGAAGAAAAAGUAAAAUUGAUUUGAAUAGAGGACAAGAUGGUACAGAAAAUGCACUCAGAUUUAUCAGACUUUCCCAGCUUCCUGCUGUUUGCCUUACAAAACAGAGCAAAUCUCACAUUCCUCCCGUUUAGUCCCAAAACACUUCUAGGGAAAUUCUGUCACAUGACAGCCAAGGAUACCCAAAUUUAGAGCCGUGCGUGCUGAAUGGGGACACACGAUCACUUUAAAAAGAAUGAGACUGUGAACUAUUAUUUCUUCCAGAUGGAUAUGAAGUCAUUUUCAAAGAAAUAAAGGCAUUGAUUUAUUUGGGGUCUUGUCAACAACAGUUCAAAGUGUGCAGUAUCAAGGAGAAGGAAGAAGCUUAGUCUUCUAGGAAAUGAUGAUGGACUCAGUGAUGGGAAUUAAGACAAUUUUCUAUAUAGCCAUGAGUUAAUGAAACUUAAGCUUGGCUGGGGGGGCCUCACUUGCACAGGCCCCCCACCCCACCCGCUAGUGCUGGGGAUUCAUUACUGGUGGGAAGGGACAGCAGGUUACAAUCAGGAAGUGUUUCUCUCUAAGCAUUUCUGGUAAAGUACUUAAUCUCAGAAGAAAAGGACGUAGAUCUCUGUGGCUCCAGUCAUUUGUUGUGAUUUAUUUCCUUUUUCCAUAUAUUUAUUUUCAUACCAUCUUUUAUGUUCAUAACUGUAUAUUCUUUUCCUUAAAGAGAGUGCCUAAAAUUGUAUAAGCUUCAGGCCUCACAUAAAAUCUGGCUCCACCAUUAUUUAAGAAUGAAUAAUUUUUAAUUUCAAUGUAUUGCCUAGUCUCAGGUCCUCAUUUCCUUAAUUGGUGGCUCCCAUAUUACAUUAAAACAUUUCCUUCAUUCAGUCAAGCUAUGGAUUGAACAUUUAGAGAGGGGUGUGUGUGUCUGUGUGUGUGUGUGUGUGUGUGUGUGUGUGUGUGUGUGUGUGUUGGCGGGGGAAUCAGUGAUAUUAGGGCUUGGAAGGCAGGGCUUUCUCCUUCUACUAGAAAAUAGACUGUUACAUUUUUUCCAUGCUAAAACAUUGACAUGUCCUAAACUGGCAGCAUGUUUGUUGUUCUUCAGAGUUAUGGACACAGACUGAUACUUCAAAUAAACCGCCACCUCUACCCACCCUGUCCCAGGAAUUUGCCAGACCAAGAGAUGCUGUUAGAAAGAGCUUGUCACUGAAUCUC
rnacentral:lncRNA from 1 species